CGCAGCCGCGGUAAUUCCAGCUCCAAUAGCGUAUAUUAAAGUUGUUGCAGUUAAAAAGCUCGUAGUUGAAUUUCGGGGUUAGUAGGUUGGUCAUGCCUCUGGUAUGUACUGGUCUCACUGAUUCCUCCUUCCUGAUGAGCCGUAAUGCCAUUAAUUUGGUGUUGCGGGGAAUUCGGACUGUUACUUUGAAAAAUUAGAGUGUUUAAAGCAAGCUAACGCUUGAAUACAUUAGCAUGGAAUAAUGAAAUAGGACGUUCGAUCCUAUUUUGUUGGUUUCUAGGAUUGACGUAAUGAUUAAUAGGGAUAGUUGGGGGCAUUAGUAUUCAAUUGUCAGAGGUGAAAUUCUUGGAUUUAUUGAAGACUAACUACUGCGAAAGCAUUUGCCAAGGAUGUUUUCAUUAAUCAAGAACGAAAGUUAGGGGAUCGAAGACGAUCAGAUACCGUCGUAGUCUUAACCAUAAACUAUGCCGACUAGGGAUCGGAUGAUGUUAAUUUUUAAUGACUCAUUCGGCGCCUUAAC
rnacentral:rRNA from 1 species